rnacentral:rRNA from 1 species
AACGAACGCUGGCGGCAUGCCUAACACAUGCAAGUCGAACGAGACCUUCGGGUCUAGUGGCGCACGGGUGCGUAACGCGUGGGAACCUGCCCUUAGGUUCGGAAUAACUCCCCGAAAGGGGUGCUAAUACCGGAUAAUGUCUUCGGACCAAAGAUUUAUCGCCUUUGGUGGGGCCCGCGUUGGAUUAGCUAGUUGUUAGGGUAAAAGCCUACCAAGGCGACGAUCCAUAGCUGGUCUGAGAGGAUGAUCAGCCACACUGGGACUGAGACACGGCCCAGACUCCUACGGGAGGUAGCAGAGGGGAAUAGAGGAAAAUGGGCGAAAGCCUGAUGCAGCAAGGCCGCGUGAGUGAUGAAGGCCGUAGGGUUGUAAAGCUCUUUUACCCGGGAUGAUAAUGACAGUACCGGGAGAAUAAGCUCCGGCUAACUCCGUG